rnacentral:rRNA from 1 species
UACAGAGGUCUCAAGCGUUGUUCGGAUUCAUUGGGCGUAAAGGGUGUGUAGGUGGCGCGCUAAGUCGGGUGUGAAAUUUCGGAGCUUAACUCCGAAACUGCAUUCGAUACUGGCGUGCUUGAGGACUGGAGAGGAGACUGGAAUUUACGGUGUAGCAGUGAAAUGCGUAGAUAUCGUAAGGAAGACCAGUGGCGAAGGCGGGUCUCUGGACAGUUCCUGACACUGAGACACGAAGGCCAGGGGGAGCAAAACGGGG